rnacentral:rRNA from 1 species
UGCAGUCGAACGGUAACAGGAAGCAGCUUGCUGCUUCGCUGACGAGUGGCGGACGGGUGAGUAAUGUCUGGGAAACUGCCUGAUGGAGGGGGAUAACUACUGGAAACGGUAGCUAAUACCGCAUAACGUCGCAAGACCAAAGAGGGGGACCUUCGGGCCUCUUGCCAUCAGAUGUGCCCAGAUGGGAUUAGCUAGUAGGUGGGGUAACGGCUCACCUAGGCGACGAUCCCUAGCUGGUCUGAGAGGAUGACCAGCCACACUGGAACUGAGACACGGUCCAGACUCCUACGGGAGGCAGCAGUGGGGAAUAUUGCACAAUGGGCGCAAGCCUGAUGCAGCCAUGCCGCGUGUAUGAAGAAGGCCUUCGGGUUGUAAAGUACUUUCAGCGGGGAGGAAGGCGAUGCGGUUAAUAACCGCGUCGAUUGACGUUACCCGCAGAAGAAGCACCGGCUAACUCCGUGCCAGCAGCCGCGGUAAUACGGAGGGUGCAAGCGUUAAUCGGAAUUACUGGGCGUAAAGCGCACGCAGGCGGUCUGUCAAGUCGGAUGUGAAAUCCCCGGGCUCAACCUGGGAACUGCAUCCGAAACUGGCAGGCUUGAGUCUCGUAGAGGGGGGUAGAAUUCCAGGUGUAGCGGUGAAAUGCGUAGAGAUCUGGAGGAAUACCGGUGGCGAANGCGGCCCCCUGGACGAAGACUGACGCUCANGUGCGAAAGCGUGGGGAGCNNACAGGAUUAGAUACCCUGGUAGUCCACGCCGUAAACGAUGUCGACUUGGANGUUGUGCCCUUGANGCGUGGCUUCCGGAGCUAACGCGUUAAGUCGACCGCCUGGGGAGUANGGCCGCANGGUUAAAACUCAAAUGAAUUGANNGGGGCCCGCACAAGCGGUGGANCAUGUGGUUUAAUUCGAUGCAACGCGAANAACCUUACCUGGUCUUGACNUCCACAGAACUUGGNANANAUGCCUUGGNGCCUUNGGNACUGNGANANAGNNGCUGCAUGNUGUCGUCAGCUC